rnacentral:rRNA from 1 species
UACGUAGGUGGCGAGCGUUGUCCGGAUUUACUGGGCGUAAAGGGAGCGUAGGCGGACUUUUAAGUGAGAUGUGAAAUACCCGGGCUCAACUUGGGUGCUGCAUUUCAAACUGGAAGUCUAGAGUGCAGGAGAGGAGAAUGGAAUUCCUAGUGUAGCGGUGAAAUGCGUAGAGAUUAGGAAGAACACCAGUGGCGAAGGCGAUUCUCUGGACUGUAACUGACACUGAGGCUCGAAAGCGUGGGGAGCAAACAGGAUUAGAUACCCU